UAGCCUGUGUGUAAACAGAUGGCCUGUC
rnacentral:piRNA from 1 species